GUAGGUGGCAAGCGUUGUCCGGAAUUAUUGGGCGUAAAGCGUGCGCAGGCGGUUCUUUAAGUCUGAUGUGAAAGCCCACGGCUCAACCGUGGAGGGUCAUUGGAAACUGGAGAACUUGAGUACAGAAGAGGAAAGCGGAAUUCCACGUGUAGCGGUGAAAUGCGUAGAGAUGUGGAGGAACACCAGUGGCGAAGGCGGCUUUCUGGUCUGUAACUGACGCUGAGGCGCGGAAGCGUGGGGAGCAAACAGGGAUUAGAUACCCUGGUAGUCCACGCCGUAAACGAUGAGUGCUAAGUGUUAGGGGGUUUCCGCCCCCUUAGUGCUGCAGCUAACGCAUUAAGCACUCCGCCUGGGGAGUACGGCCGCAAGGCUG
rnacentral:rRNA from 1 species